UACAGAGGUCCCGGGCGUUGUUCGGAUUCAUUGGGCGUAAAGGUGCGUAGGCGGUUGGGUAAGUCUGACGUGAAAUCUCCGGGCCUAACCCGGAAACUGCGUUGGAUACUAUCCGGCUAGAGGAAUGGAGGGGAGACUGGAAUACUUGGUGUAGCAGUGAAAUGCGUAGAUAUCAAGUGGAACACCAGUGGCGAAGGCGAGUCUCUGGACAUUUCCUGACGCUGAGGCACGAAAGCCAGGGGAGCAAACGGG
rnacentral:rRNA from 1 species